rnacentral:misc_RNA from 1 species
GAUGAAGAACGUAGCGAAAUGCGAUAAGUAAUGCGAAUUGCAGAAUCCGUGAGUCAUCGAAUCUUUGAACGCACAUUGCGCCCGCCAGUAUUCUGGCGGGCAUGCCUGUUCGAGCGUCAUUUCAACCAUCAAGCCCCCGGCUUGUGUUGGGGACCUGCGGCUGCCGCAGGCCCUGAAAAGCAGUGGCGGGCUCGCUGUCACACCGAGCGUAGUAGCAUACAUCUAGCUCUGGGCGUGCUGCGGGUUCCGGCCGUUAAACCACCUUCAUAACCCAAGGUUGACCUCGGAUCAGGUAGGAAGACCCGCUGAACUUAAGCAUAUCAAUAAGCGGAGGA